AAAAGAUUAGUUAAUUACAUAACAUAAGCUUGUCAAGCUUAAAUUGUCGCUUUAAGCAACAUUUUUUA
rnacentral:tRNA from 1 species